CACCUGUUCACAAUCGCCUGGGGCCGCGCGUCCAUUUCAGCUCGGCAGCUGGCAGAGUUCUCCCAACUGAUGCGGUUAAUGCUCUGGUGGCGCCUGCAAACCCCUCAGUCUCUUCCUUAAUGGCAGUUGAUGCCUCGUUUCCGACGUUGAUUGCACUAGUUGAUGAUGCCUCGUUUCCGACACUGGUUGGACCAGUUGAUGCGCCAGCUCUCCCUGAUGCUUCGGUUGUAGAGCUGGCGGUGCCUGGAUCUACCUUGUUUCCUGUGAUGGUGGGGCCAGCUACUGUGUCAAAUCUCCUUGAUGCUUCGGGUGCAGAGUAGGCCGCGUGUGGAGGGUUCUCGUCUCUAUUGAUGCCGCAGAUUACCCCUUGAAGACUGUUCGGCUCUAUUGAGCUGCUCCCUCACGGAGUCCCAGAUAUCAGCUUCUACACCUGUUCAAUCUCGCCUAGGGACACGCGUACAUUUAUGCUCGGCGGCUGGCAGACCAGUUAAUAAACCAGUUCUCCUAGCUGGUGGGGUUAUUGCUUUGGUGGCGCCUGCUAACCCCUCGGUUUCUUCCUUAAUGGCAGUGGAUGCCUCAUUUCCGACGUUGG
rnacentral:misc_RNA from 1 species